UACAGAGGGUGCAAGCGUUGUUCGGAAUUACUAGGCGUAAAGCGAGUGUAGGCGGACUCUUAAGUCUGACGUUAAAUCUCCCGGCUUAACUGGGAGCUGUCGUCGGAUACUGAGAGCCUCGAGUGGGGUAGGGGGCAGGGGAAUUCCCGGUGUAGCGGUGAAAUGCGUAGAUAUCGAGAGGAACACCUGCGGCGAAGGCGGGUUGCUGGGCUGACACUGACGCUGAGGCGCGAAAGCUAGGGGAGCGAACGGG
rnacentral:rRNA from 1 species